rnacentral:lncRNA from 1 species
GUUUCAGGUUUCUAACUACCUUUAUUUAAUCCCUGAUUUAUUCACAUUCCUUGCAUCAGCCAUCUUGGGCUGAUGUCGACCAAUUCUCCUGGCCAGGCGCGAUCCGCCUGGUCAGCAUCCCUGCCAUCUAAUGAAUUACCUUUAGAUUUGUUUUUUCGCAGUGGCGUAAGCACCAUUCCUGUUGCGCUCGUGCCUACCAAUGGAGGUUCCAUCAGGCUGACGAACCCACAAGCCGCCCAGAAGGAACUUAAGACCAUGUCCAACCACUUCCACACCAUCACUGACGUGCGAGCGUUCGGACGCGGAGGUAUACUGUGUCGGUCACCGGACCAGACCUGUGUUGAAGAUCUACUGAAAUGCACUUCAUUCGCUUCCAUCCCGAUCAUCUAGAAGCUGACGCCAACC